UGAGCAAUCUGCCCUUCACAUCGGAAUAAGCGUUGGAAACGACGUCUAAUGCCGAAUACGACCUCCUUUCGCAUGAUCGGAGGUGGAAAGCUCCGGCGGAGAAGGAUGAGCUCGCGGCCUAUCAGCUAGUUGGUGUGGGUAAUGGCCCACCAAGGCGACGACGGGUAGCCGGCCUGAGAGGGUGACCGGCCACACUGGGACUGAGACACGGCCCAGACUCCGUACGGGAGCAG
rnacentral:rRNA from 1 species